CAAUCAAAACCAAGCUAACUCGUUAUUGGCCCUAAACAACCACGCCUCUUCAGUGGAUUGAACCAUCUUCGAGCUCAUGCCAAGUUAGAGAUCUGUUGCCCACCAACCAUUUGGGCUCCUUCCCUUUAAAUAGAAAUGAAAGAUAUUCCUAACUCUGAGAAGCCUUCUUAACUCUAAAAUAUGCUUAGGAUUUAACUUUUCAAUUUGCACUAUAACGAUCUACAUAUCUAAAUGUUGGGCCUGGAGCCAAACAGAUUCCUUAGGAAUUGACCAUUUUGUGGGUAAAUGAAAGUUGCUGGUGAGUUUACUUUUUACUAAAAUUUGUUAUGAUCUAGAAAAAAGGUUAGAAGCCUAAUAUUUAAGUAUAGGUUCAUGACCCUGGUGAACGAUAAAGUAGACCAUCCC
rnacentral:lncRNA from 1 species